UACUGUUUUGCACUGCACAUACAACUGCACAUUUUUUCCCCACCAAUUCUCAUUUUCUAAUGAAAUUUUUUUCCUUCUUUUUUCUUUACGCUUUUACAAAUUUGGAUAUUAUUAAUUUAACUGACUUCGUAUCAGUGACGACUCCGUCGGUAAAUCCUGCGGAGUCUUAAUCAAAGAUUAUUAUUAUUAAUUGGGGAAGUAUAUAUUUAGUGGCCAGGUCACCCUCAAAAAUAUAGUUGGUUAGCGUCACCUGCCUGACUCACUUUGAAAGGCGAAAGUUAAGUCGGGGAGUUGGUAAAAAAUAAACCAAACAAUACACAAACAAUCUUCGACACGCAACAAAAUCCACCAUUUAUCUUUAUUUAUCUUGCAGUCACGGCUGUUUCGCUACGGUCAAACCGCGGACAAAAUUAAGAUGGCUUCCACAAUUUUUUUGGAAAUUUUGUAUUUUUAUCAUUUUUUAAAUUAUUGAAACUUUUUUUGUGUUGUUUUAAUUUUACUGAAUUAAAAAGUAUUAAAACGAUCUACUUUUCCCCUUUUUAAAUAUAUAAAUAUGUUAUACAUGUGUGUUAUAAAUUUCGAGUUAUUUCGUCAAACAAAACACACAAAACUAAAAAAAAACAUUAUUUUUGGCGAAAGUAUACCAUCUUUCCAACCUUGUGCCAACGUCGCGCUACUAGCUACUAACUUGAAAAUUGGUAUGGGGGGCCUGGAAACAUGGUUCUAUUGGCCGGUACCGUGCACCGUUCGUCUCGCAAACUAUAAACUACUUAAAUUUUAAGUUAAAGUCUUCUUUAGGCGCUAAAAAAGAGGAGAAAAAGUUGCCAAAGUGGUGCACGGCAAUUUGAUGUAGUGUGAUCCCUUUUCUGUCUAAUUAAAUAAUUAUCUAAACUUCUAAGCAAGUCACAGUGAUGGCGUUUAAUGUUUUGGUAGGUAUGGUUUUUCCCAGCAAAAUUACGGCAAGCCGGUGUUUACUUUUGACUUGAUUGCUCGACCCGGGAAUCCUAAUCCGAAACCGGGAUUUUUUGAAAAUGUUGGAAUAAGCGAGACAACGGUGUCUUGGCAAUUUUGAAGCUAGCUAAAGUUUGGCAGAGCACGAGUUAAGACUUUGGUGGGCUUUUUCAAGAUAAAAUUGUUGAAAUCAAAGAUGUUUAUGGCUAGCUAGCUAAUCUUGGCUUUAUCACAAGAUUGGGUGCUAUUUUAUACAAUUUAUAAAGAAACACAACAUGAUUGCUUUGUAUAUAUUUAAUGUAUAUAAUAAACUAUUUAUGCACAA